rnacentral:pre_miRNA from 1 species
CUUAUACUCCCUCCGUCCGAAAAUACUUGUCAUUAAAAUAAACAAAAAAGAAUGUAUCUAGAACUAAAAUACAUCUAGAUACAUUCCCUUUUAUUCAUUUUGAUGACAAGUAUUUCCGGACGGAGGGAGUAGGUU